rnacentral:rRNA from 1 species
CCUACGGGUGGCAGCAGUGAGGAAUAUUGGUCAAUGGACGAGAGUCUGAACCAGCCAAGUAGCGUGAAGGAUGACUGCCCUAUGGGUUGUAAACUUCUUUUAUAAAGGAAUAAAAUGAGGCACGUGUGCCUUUUUGUAUGUACUUUAUGAAUAAGGAUCGGCUAACUCCGUGCCAGCAGCCGCGGUAAUACGGAGGAUCCGAGCGUUAUCCGGAUUUAUUGGGUUUAAAGGGUGCGUAGGCGGCCUGUUAAGUCAGUGGUGAAAGUUUGUGGCUCAACCAUAAAAUUGCCGUUGAGACUGGGAGUCUUGAGUAUGGUUGAGGCAGGCGGAAUGCGUGGUGUAGCGGUGAAAUGCUUAGAUAUCACGCAGAACCCCGAUUGCGAAGGCAGCUUACUAAGCUAUGACUGACAUUGAUGCACGAAAGCGUGGGGAUCAAACAGGAUUAGAUACCCGGGUAGUC